rnacentral:rRNA from 1 species
AGGAAUUCAAUGGCCGCAGUAUUUUAACUGUGCUAAGGUAGCAUAAUCAUUUGUCUUUUAAUUGAGGGCUGGAAUGAAAGGUUGGACGAAAUACUUACUUUCUUUAAUUUAAUUUUAAGAAUUUAAUUUUUGGGUUAAAAAGCUUAAAUUUAUUUGUUGGACGAGAAGACCCUAUAGAUCUUUAUAAUUUUAUAUUUUAAUAAUUUAGUGGUUAUAUUUAUUAUAAGUAAAAGGAUUAUUUUGUUGGGGUGACUGUAGAAUUUUAUAAACUUCUAUUAUUUUUAUUUCAUUGAUUAAUGUUUUUUUGAUCCAUAUAUUUAUGAUUAUAAGAUUAAGUUACCUUAGGGAUAACAGCGUAAUUUUUUCGGAGAGUUCAUAUUGAUGAAGAAGUUUGCGACCUCGAUGUUGGAUUAA